CGGGAUUCUCAGAGGAAGACUGUGCUCAUUUCACCACCACUCCAGGAUCAUCUCUACUCCAACAGAACCAUAUCUGUUACUCCAGGAGGACUUACUUGGACUGCUUCCAACAUCCUGGCCAACAGGGUGCCAGACUAAACCCAAGGCAGUCAUUUAUCAGAGCAUCCCACAAACUUCCCACAUGAACUCCCCUCUCCUUCUGAGGAGUCCUCAAAUUCUACAUGAGGUCUGAGCAUGAAUAACUGCAGGAGGUGCAAGCAGUGCUGAUUUACAGAACUGCAUCUCUAAGGAAGGAGCCUUUCAUGUACCUCUCCAUUGAAGGCACUUUGACUGAACAGGAGUAGCUACAGCCAUCACUGGGACACAGCACAUCUGGAACAGCUUUUCAAUGAAGGACAUGAAUCCUUUGUUCUUUUCCUUAUCCCAGAACUAUUACAUAUACACUGCUUCAAUCUUGUCUAUGGCUCCUCUGUUAUGAUGAUCAGUACCUUGACCUGGUUGCCAUUUCCAACGAGAGGGACUUGCCUGCAUCCUCUCGUUGGCAGCUCCCAGCUAACACAGGGAUUUCCAACAGGUCUCUUUGGCAAGUGAGCACAACACCCACACACUCUAUUUAUGUCUAAGUACACAUCUGAGUGUGUUUCCUGAGACAGAGAAGACAUUACACUGCCUAAUGUUGUUACCCAAAGGGUGAGAACAGAGGAUGUGUUGAUUGAAAAAAGAAGAGUAAAACCCACCUGUUUUAGUCCUUCAUGUAUGUAUGUCUCACCUGCUGGUAUCACCUCCUCCAGAUCCUUUAAACCU